rnacentral:lncRNA from 1 species
CAUGCGGUGGGAUUGUGAGAGUGCGUUCAUGAGAACUGUGGGCGGCGUUGGCUGCUUCUAAGUGUGGUCUUCUUGGCGACAGGCUCUGUGUCCGAGUGUGGUGUGCCUGCGCGGUUGGGGUGUGUAGAUGUGGACCCUUCGAGGCCCUUCUGCGUUUUCUUCGUUGCGUACGAUUGUGCUCCGUUGGUGUUCUCAGCAGGGAUCUGGUUCUGUGUGUGGGGGUGUGUGGCCCCUGCGACUGUGUUUGGGUGGUGUCGUCGUUAUGUCGGGCGUGUGUGAUCCCGACUGUGCUGGAUUGUGUGUCCGUGAGCCGCUGCGUUUGACUGAUUUCGUUGUGUCCUGUUGGGCAGUGUGCGGGGCUGACCAAGUCGGCUUCUGGGGCAGUGCUAGGUGGUGUUUGUUUGCUGCCCUUCUGUGGGGCUGGACCCUGUGUGGUCCUGUCCGCACUGAGUUGUAUGCCUGUGUGCCUGUGUCCUUUAGAGAGCGCAGCAGUUUGUCCCUUUUGGCUCCUUUGGCGGGAGAACAAAGCAGCGGGUUUUUUUCCGCUACAGCCGUUU